GACGUAGGGUGCGAGCGUUGUCCGGAUUUAUUGGGCGUAAAGAGCUCGUAGGCGGCUCGUCGCGUCGACCGUGAAAACCCGCGGCUUAACUGCGGGCUUGCGGUUGAUACGGGCGGGCUAGAGUCCGGUAGGGGAGACUGGAAUUCCUGGUGUAGCGGUGAAAUGCGCAGAUAUCAGGAGGAACACCGGUGGCGAAGGCGGGUCUCUGGGCCGAUACUGACGCUGAGGAGCGAAAGCGUGGGGAGCGAACAGG
rnacentral:rRNA from 1 species